rfam:Phialocephala scopiformis strain CBS 120377 unplaced genomic scaffold LY89scaffold_13, whole genome shotgun sequence.
GCGUUUGUGGUUUAGUGGUAAAAUCCAUCGGUAUGUUCUUCCGCUUGAAAGCAAAAUUAAACACCUUCUAAUUUCAAGCAGUUGCCAAAGGAUUCUGUCCUCCAAGCGUCGAUGGGCCCCGGGUUCGAUUCCCGGCGAACGCA